UACAGAGGUCCCAAGCGUUGUUCGGAUUCACUGGGCGUAAAGGGUGCGUAGGCGGUCGGGUAAGUCUGAUGUGAAAUCUCACAGCUUAACUGUGAAACUGCAUUGGAUACUACCCGGCUAGAGGAAUGGAGGGGAGACUGGAAUACUUGGUGUAGCAGUGAAAUGCGUAGAUAUCAAGUGGAACACCAGUGGCGAAGGCGAGUCUCUGGACAUUUCCUGACGCUGAGGCACGAAAGCCAGGGGAGCAAACGGG
rnacentral:rRNA from 1 species